AUUGAACGCUGGCGGCAGGCCUAACACAUGCAAGUCGAGCGGAGCGGCGGACGGGUGAGUAAUGCCUAGGUAUCGGCCUGGUAGUGGGGGCUAACGCCCGGAAACGGGCGCUAACACCGCAUACUAUCAGAUGAGCCUAGGUCGGAUUAGCUAGUUGGUGGGGUAAAGGCCUACCAAGGUGACGAUCCCGAACUGGUCUGAGAGGAGGAUCAGUCACACUGGAACUGAGACACGGUCCAGACUCCUACGGGAGGCAGCAGUGGGGAAUAUUGGACAAUGGGCGAAAGCCUGAUCCAGCCAUGCCGCGUGUGUGAAGAAGGUCUUCGGAUUGUAAAGCACUUUAAGUUGGGAGGCGUUACCAACAGAAUAAGCACCGGCUAACUUCGUGCCAGCAGCCGCGGUAAUAC
rnacentral:rRNA from 1 species